AAAACUUUAAGUUAAAAUAAACUCUGGGUCUUCAAAACCCCCUAUGAUUCUAAAUAAUCAAGUUUUG
rnacentral:tRNA from 1 species